AUGCAAAAACUCAGUUCCCUCAGUAUUAUAGGUUGCGGGAGGUUGAAGAUGGUAGAGAUCAAUGCUCCAAAUCUCCGAUUCCUUCUUUGUGGUCGUAAUCAUGGUAUUGAGACCCUUUCAGAAAUCUUGGUCAAAGAUUCUUCUCAGCUUAAGGAUGUAAAUUAUUCAUGGAUUCUUCUCUCUUACGCUCAUGCUUGGCUUCCAUCCAUCGCAAGAAAUGUUGAGAGCCUUGCCCUAUGCUCUCCUACAGAGAAUGUCAACAUUUCAAUCAUGCCUUCCAAGCUCCUCCACCUCAGGAGGUUGGACAUCGGACUCCGAUGA
rnacentral:rRNA from 1 species